AGCGGAAUCACCUCUGCACAAAC
rnacentral:miRNA from 1 species